rnacentral:tRNA from 1 species
GGUCGAUUAACUCAGCGGUAGAGUGAUGCCCUUACAAGGCGUAAGUCGGGGGUUCGAAUCCCUCAUCGACUACCA